rnacentral:rRNA from 1 species
CUCUGUGACUCCUACGGGAGGCAGCAGUGGGGGAAUAUUGCACAAUGGGCGCAAGCCUGAUGCAGCCAUGCCGCGUGUGUGAAGAAGGCCUUCGGGUUGUAAAGCACUUUCAGUUGUGAGGAAGGCGGGUACGUUAAUAGCUGCAUUAUUUGACGUUAGCGACAGAAGAAGCACCGGCUAACUCCGUGCCAGCAGCCGCGGUAAUACGGAGGGUGCGAGCGUUAAUCGGAAUUACUGGGCGUAAAGCGCAUGCAGGUGGUUUGUUAAGUCAGAUGUGAAAGCCCCGGGGCUCAACCUCGGAAUUGCAUUUGAAACUGGCAGACUAGAGUACUGUAGAGGGGGUAGAAUUUCAGGUGUAGCGGUGAAAUGCGUAGAGAUCUGAAGGAAUACCGGUGGCGAAGGCGGCCCCCUGGACAGAUACUGACACUCAGAUGCGAAAGCGUGGGGAGCAAACAGGAUUAGAUACCCUUGUAG